rnacentral:tRNA from 1 species
GGGCGCUUAGCUCAGUUGGUAGAGCGUCUGCCUUACAAGCAGAAUGUCGGCGGUUCGAUCCCGUCAGCGCUCACCA